rnacentral:lncRNA from 1 species
AGCCUGUCAACAAUAAAAGUGGUGAGUAAUAUUUUCUCAUUUAUUUUCCCCAUUUAUAUAUCCAAUGAUCAUGCUAACAACUGGCAAAUUCUGGAAAAUAUUGCUAUGUGUAACCCAAAUUAAUGUAUCAAUAUAGUAUCCUAAUUUUUUUAUUAGGAUAUUUUUUAUUGCAUUUUCCUUUCUAUAGAUUUUUUUUGGUUUGGUAAAACACUAUUUCUUAAAUAAACAAAGAAAUUCUGAAUAAGUAGUGAAUGGGAAGCAAUGGGAAUUGAGUCAUUAAGAAUUUAGAAUGACCUCUUGAAAGAUGAAACUGCCUCAGGUAGAAGCCAUGGAGCCCAAGGGAUUCAUUUUUACAUUAAAAAAAGUCUAAAAGGUAUUGUCAUUUUCUAAAUACUAGAAUGAUUCUGAGUAUGAGAUCUGGCAUAUAUUUGACCCUCAUUUAGUUGUUAGAAAUUGUAGAGAUUAUGUUGCACAAGUCUUGAAUUUGAGAGAUUAAAUCUCUGAGUAAAUGGUUUCCUUUGUCAUAGAUUGUAUUAGUAUGAGAACCAGAUAACAAAUCUAGUGGUUAUGAGUUUCUCUCUCUCUCUCUCUCUCUCUCUCUCUGUCUCUCUCUCUCUCUCUCUGUCUCUCUCAUUGUGCUUUUUUUCUCUCCCUUUUUACAGAGCCUGUUAACAAUUGUUACAAGGAAAUCACUUUAAAAGACUGAUAUAUAUUAAUUUAAGGUCGCCAAGGAAUUCAGCUAUGUAAUUCCUAAAUGAAAACUCAAGUCAGCAGUCAAUCUUUUAUGGAGUUUAAUUACAAUAGGAGGAAGAAAGGAAUUCGAGAUAGAGAGAGAGAAAAAGGGAGAGAAGAGAAUAGGGCUUAAAUACCCCCUUCUGUUUAGGCUGGGCCAAAGGCCCAAGCCCUUAGAUAGCUGGGGCAAUGAAAGGAAAUCAGUCCCUAUUACUCACGUGACCAAAAUGGAGAAAUAGUCUCAGAGGCCCCCACCUUCAGCUUCCUUCAGAGCAAGCUUCUCAGAGCACACCGCAACCACUCCGGCAAACUCCUCAACCCCCCUCGAGACUUCAGACACCCCUAUCCUUAAGGAAACCAUCCAAACUCCUCAACCCCCCUCGAGACUUCAGACACCCCUAUCCUUAAGGAAACCAUCCAAGUUCCCUCCCCUCAGUCCUCACAUCUACCAAUCACCUGUCCAUCAAUUUCCCUGUGCCAAUGGAGGCUCUAGCUUAACCCAGGACCGCCCAGAGGUCUUCUGGCUUUGCACAUGUCUGUUGAAGGUCAUAUUUUCAAAUAAUUAAAUCUUUGAUCUUUUGCUACAGCCUUUUCUAAAUCCUGUUAACCUGAGUAGGGUAGAGAUUGGAAUAAUUAAAUUUUGAUCUAGGCUGCAGCCCUUACUCAAUCCUGUUAGGACUGAAUAGGGUGGAGAUUGAUUCCAAGUAUCUCCAUUGUAUUAAUUCUAUAAUCAAUCAUGACUCAAAGAAAUUCCUGUUCUAUGCUUAAGCAUAGGUCAAAGUCCUUUCCAUUGUUCAGCAAAAGGUUUCUGUCCUAAAGUAAUCUUAAGAAGGUAGGAGGAGGAACCUCCCAUGCCAAUGGGGUUCACAUUCCAAUAGCCAAGACCCACUAUCAAUAGGGAAUUU